rnacentral:rRNA from 1 species
AACGAACGCUGGCGGCAUGCCUAACACAUGCAAGUCGAACGAGACCUUCGGGUCUAGUGGCGCACGGGUGCGUAACGCGUGGGAACCUGCCCUUAGGUUCGGAAUAACUCCCCGAAAGGGGUGCUAAUACCGGAUAAUGUCUUCGGACCAAAGAUUUAUCGCCUUUGGAUGGGCCCGCGUUGGAUUAGCUAGUUGGUAGGGUAAAAGCCUACCAAGGCGACGAUCCAUAGCUGGUCUGAGAGGAUGAUCAGCCACACUGGAACUGAGACACGGCCCAGACUACUACGGGAAGCAGCAGUGGGGAAUAUUGGACAAUGGGCGAAAGCGUGAUCCAGCAAUGCCGCGUGAGUGAUGAAGGCAAAAGGGUUGUAAAGCUCUUUUAGCAGGGAAGAUAAUGACAGUACCGGGAGAAUAAGCGACGGCUAACUCCGUG